rnacentral:rRNA from 1 species
AGAGUUUGAUCCUGGCUCAGAUUGAACGCUGGCGGCAUGCCUUACACAUGCAAGUCGAACGGCAGCACGGGUGCUUGCACCUGGUGGCGAGUGGCGAACGGGUGAGUAAUACAUCGGAACGUGUCCUGUAGUGGGGGAUAGCCCGGCGAAAGCCGGAUUAAUACCGCAUACGAUCUACGGAUGAAAGCGGGGGAUCUUCGGACCUCGCGCUAUAGGGGCGGCCGAUGGCGGAUUAGCUAGUUGGUGGGGUAAAGGCCUACCAAGGCGACGAUCCGUAGCUGGUCUGAGAGGACGACCAGCCACACUGGGACUGAGACACGGCCCAGACUCCUACGGGAGGCAGCAGUGGGGAAUUUUGGACAAUGGGGGCAACCCUGAUCCAGCAAUGCCGCGUGUGUGAAGAAGGCCUUCGGGUUGUAAAGCACUUUUGUCCGGAAAGAAAUCCUGUGGGCUAAUAUCCCGCGGGGAU